GGUGAUAUCGUCUAGUGGUUAGGACAGCACGUUGUGGCUAGCUGCACACAAUGUAUCCGUGCAAACGUCGGUUCGAUUCCGGCUAUCGCCA
rnacentral:tRNA from 1 species